rnacentral:miRNA from 1 species
UUUCGACUUGUUCGACAUCGAC